rnacentral:rRNA from 1 species
GACGAACGCUGGCGGCGCGCUUAACACAUGCAAGUCGUGCGGUGUCGAAGGCAAGUCUUACGACAAGCCUUCGACACAGCGGCGAACGGGUGAGUAACACGUGAGUAGCUGUCCUAAGGAGGGGGAUAACGCCUGGAAACGGGUGCUAACACCCCAUAUGCCUCGCAAGAGGUGAAAGUGUACUUGCUACAGCCUUAGGGUGUGCUCGCGGCCUAUCAGCUAGUUGGUGAGGUAACGGCUCACCAAGGCCAAGACGGGUAGCCGGCCUGAGAGGAUGGCCGGUCACAAGGGCACUGAGAGACGGGCCCUACUCCUACGGGAGGCAGCAGUGGGGGAUUUUGGACAAUGGGCGAAAGCCUGAUCCAGCGACGCCGCGUGGAGGACGAAGCCCUUCGGGGUGUAAACUCCUUUUCUCAGGGAAAAGGAUGAUGGUACCUGAGGAAUAAGCCCGGCUAACUACGUG